CCCGGCGGCGGGGUCGGGGCUACCAGUACCUCGUCGACUGGGAGGGCUACGGCCCUGAAGAACGUUCCUGGGUCCCGGGAUCGUUCAUUGUGGAUAACACCCUCAUUAGGGAGUAUUGGGACUCUCAGCCCUCAUCCUCUGCUCGGCCGCCAGGUGGCGUCCGUUGAGGGGGGGGUACUGUCAGGGUCUGCAUUUUGUUUCCGUUUUAUUUUGGGUUUUUUUUGGUUUGAGUUUUUUUUUCCUGCCGUUGGGACUGGCAUUCCUCAUGACAUCCACCAGAGGUCGCCAACAGACAGAGCCCCUGGAAGGCUGCUGAGUUCAACCCGUUUACACACCUGCAGCUUGUUUUGGAGGGCGUGGAUUAUGGAUUUAAGCAGCAGCUCCUCUCCGUCUCAUCGCCUGAGUGUUUGCUUACUUCGGUAACAACUCGUUCCAGAACUAGGCUCUCUGUGAUCUGUUCCGCUCUAACCCUUUGUUGUCUUCCUCGUCAGAUAUCCUGCUGUUCUCUCGCGGUUCUGGCGAAGAGCAGUCCUCCCCGAGUUCAGUAUGCGCCUGUGCUCCCCUCGUUGUGGAUUCCCUACCUCCUGUGUCCUCCCUCGACGCUGUCGGUGCUACCGGUCAGAAGCCACCCCUCGUGUGUCCACCCUUUCCUCUCGUCGAUCCCUCUCUGGUGGAACCCCCCUCAUUCCAACAAGACGACCCGGUCAUCAGCACCAGGAGUCGCGUCCUGACCCCUCCCCUGACUUCAAUAAACUGAUUAUUGUGCACUU